AGAGGGGCCCGGAGUUAAGGUCUAGAGGAUGAGGGUCUGGGACUGCGAGUGCAGGCUGGGGUCCAGGGACUGGAGUGCCCUGAGUUCCGCCUGGGGAGGCUCCAGGGUGAUGGGUAGGCAGCUUGGUAGGAGAGAAGGGCUUAGGGAGCUCGCCAGGAGUCCAAAAACAGGCUCUUCCAAGUGGUUGGCAGUUGUUUAAUGGUUGGAUGCCUCCAGGGAGAAAGUGCCCCCCCCCGCCCCCAGGACUCUAAUCACUGGGAAGGGGUAUUUGCCCAAGGAGUCUAUGGAGAAGGGAAUGGGACACAGUGAGGAGGGAGGGUCAUUUAUGAGCACCCAGGGAUUCCAGUAACUUACCUUCUUCAGCAGGGAGCUCUUCCCAGGAAAAAGGAAAAAGAAGAAAAGGACAUAUUCAUUUUGGGGUUCAGCCUCAUGCCCCCCACAUCCAGGACUUUGUGGCAAAGGGCAGGAAAGGCCCUAGAUCGUCAGCCCUGCAUUCACUGUCUUACCGCACUAAGAGAACUUGCUGGAGACCCCCGGAAGCACCAUUCAGCUCUGCAUUUACCUUUCAAUAAACAAGACUGCCCCAGACAGGAACAACCUUGGAAGCACAGGACUCAGGCCUGGGUCAGCUCUGGAGCUCACAGCACUGUGCUGCCUUCCCAACCCGCCUGUCCCAGUCCCUGCUGCAAACACUGGCCACAGCCAUCAUGAUGGAACUGAGAUAAACCCUUUUAUUUA